AGCGAACGCUGGCGGCAGGCUUAACACAUGCAAGUCGAACGGGCUUCUUCUGAGGUCAUUCGCAGACGGGUGAGUAACCCGGGGGAACGUGCCCUUCGAUCCGGAUCUACUCAGGCAAACUGGAUCUAAUACCGGAUACGCCCCUUUUGGGGAAGGUUUACUACGGUAGGAUGGGCGCGCGAUUCAUUCGUUGGUUGGUUGGAUGACGGGCUACCAGGUCGGCGAGCAGUAGCUGGUAUGGGAGAAUGAUCCGCCACACUGGCACUGGGACACGGUGCAGAAUACUACGGGAGGGAGGCGUGGGGAAUCUUGGAAAAUCGGCGCAGGGAUGAUCCAGCCAUGCCGCGUGAGUGAUGAAGUCCUUAGGGUUGUAAAGCUCUUUUGUCCGGGACGAUAAUGACGGUACCGGAAGAAUAAGCCCCGGCUAACUUCGUG
rnacentral:rRNA from 1 species